GUGAAUCAUCAAAUUUUUGAACGCAAAUUGCACUCUCUUCGGAGAGUAUGCCUGUUUGAGGGUCAGCCUAUAAAAAAUCGACAUCGUUGCUGUUUCGCGGUGACGUUCGUCGGAAAUUGGGUCAUCUUAAAUCCUUUUGGCUUUAAGUGACUUAAAAUUUUCUAUUUGGUUCCAUGAACGUUUCUAAGAUUUAUUUCUUUACACGUAUAAGGUAUCGAUUUUUACUAGACGUGACUAUCAUAUCGGAUCGCGUCCAUAAUUUUUUAUUAAAUGACCUUAGACAGGUAAGG
rnacentral:misc_RNA from 1 species